AGGGAGGACCUGCCCUGGCCAGCCUGACAUAAAAGGGCAGCUCUAGUCUGGCUUGGACUGAUCAGGGCUCAUCCGGGCACAGCUGACCAUGAGGUUCCCUGCUCAGCUCCUGGGGCUCCUCCUGCUCUGGGUCCCAGGAUCCAGUGGGGCCAUUGUGCUGACCCAGACUCCACUCUCCCUGUCCGUCAGCCCUGGAGAGCCGGCCUCCAUCUCCUGCAGGUCCACUCAGAGCCUCCGAGGUAGUUAUGGAAAGAAUUAUUUGAAUUGGUACCUGCAGAAACCAGGCCAGUCUCCAAAGCUCUUGAUCUAUUGGGCUACCAACAGGGCCUCUGGGGUCCCAGACAGGUUCAGUGGCAGUAGGUCAGGGACCGAUUUCACCCUGAAAAUCAUCAGGGUGGAGGCCGAGGAUGCUGGAGUUUAUUCCUGUUUGCAAGAUAUACAAUCUCCUCCCACAGUGAUACUGCCCUGAACACAAACCUCCCUGCCUGGGGGCCCAGCUGCCUAAGGUGCACCUUCUCUGGGGAACUGGGAGCUGAUGCUCUGAGUCCAUGUGCAAGGCAGCUGUGGGAGGGCUCAGGGGGUACAUGGCAGCUGAGGGCUCUGGGCCAUGAGCAUCUGGGAUGCACCUCAGGCUCCUCUGUUAUGGCCCCAUCAACUGCACAGCCUGGUCCUGGCAGAAGCAGCAGGGAUACUUAGUGGUUCCUGUGUCCUGUAGCAACCAGGGAUGUGAC